AUGGUAUGUGGAAAAGCCCUUCCCCCCCCACCCAUCUUUCUGUUUCUGUCUCUGUCCCACUCUUUUUCUCUCUCUCCCUGCCAAUUCUUUCUCUCUCUCUUUUUCUCUUUCUGUUUCUGUCUCUCCCUCCCUCUCUCUCUCCCUCCCUCUCUAUGUCUCUCUCUCUUCCUCCUUCUUCAUUGUCUGUCUCUGUUUCUCCCUUUCUCCUUCCCUCUCUCUGUCUCUGUCUCUCUGUUUCUCUCUCUGCCCCACUUUCUCUCUUUUUUCUUUCUGUCUCCUUCCUCUCUUUUUCUCUCUCUGUUUCUGUCUCUCACCCUUUCUCUCUCUCUCCCUCCCUGUCUCUGUCUCUCUUCCUCCCUCCUCUCCUUUUUUUCUCUUUGUUUCUGUCUCUCUUCCUUCCUCUCUCUGUCUCUCUUUUCCUCCCUCCUUUCUAUCUCUUUUUUUGUUUCUCUUUUCCCCUCCCUCCCUCUGUCUCUCUCUUCUUUCCUGUCUGUCUCUCUCCGUUUUUUUCUCUCUGUCCCUCCGUCUCUCUCUACCCCACUUUCUCUCUUUUUUCCUUUCUCUUUCCCUCCUCUCUGUUUCUUGUUUUCUCUCUGUGUUUCUCCCUCUCUCCCUUUCUCUCUCUCCUCCCUCCUUUCUAUCUCUUUUUUUGUGUUUCUCUUUUCCCCUCCCUCCCUCUGUCUCUCUCUUCUUUCCUGUCUGUCUCUCUUCCUCCCUCCUCUCUCUCUCUCUCUCUCUCUCUCUCUCUCUCUCUCUCUCUCUCUCUCUCUCUCUCUCUCUCUCUCUCUUCUUUGUUUCUUUCUCCCUUCCUCCCCCCUCUCUCUCUUUUCCUCCCUCCUUUCUAUCUCUUUUUUUUGUGUUUCUCUUUUCCCCUCCCUCCCUCUGUCUCUCUCUUCCUCCCUGUCUGUCUCUCUCUGUUUCUUUCUCUCUGUCUCUCCCUCUCUCUCGGUCUCUGUCUGUCUCUUGUCUAUUUUCUUAUCCACAGGGAAGACUAUACAUUCAACUUGUCCUAAACCCAAAGCAGCUCACUGUAGCCUUGUAGGGGCUGCUCUGAGGUGGUAG
rnacentral:lncRNA from 1 species